rnacentral:rRNA from 1 species
CAGUCGCCACGGUAAAACGAAGGGUGCAAGCGUUAAUCGGAAUUACUGGGCGUAAAGCGUGCGUAGGCGGUUUGUUAAGUCUGUUGUGAAAUCCCCGGGCUCAACCUGGGAAUGGCAAUGGAUACUGGCAAGCUAGAGUGUGUCAGAGGAUGGUGGAAUUCCCGGUGUAGCGGUGAAAUGCGUAGAGAUCGGGAGGAACAUCAGUGGCGAAGGCGGCCAUCUGGGACAACACUGACGCUGAGGCACGAAAGCGUGGGGAGCAAACAGGAUUAGAUACCCCCGUAGUCCCUGUCUCUUAUAC